UAAGUGAUAUGGAGCAAAACCCUAAAAAGACGGUCUCAGUUCGGAUUGAAGGCUGAAAUUCGCCUUCAUGAAGCUGGAAUUGCUAGUAAUGGCAGGUCAGCAUACUGCCGUGAAUACGUUCCCGGGCCUUGUACACACCGCCCGUCACACCAUGAGAGUUGGAAAUACCCGAAGCCUGUGAGCUAACUGUAAAGAGGCAGCAGUCGAAGGUAGAGCCAAUGAUUGGGGUGAAGUCGUAACAAGGUAGC
rnacentral:rRNA from 1 species